ensembl:lncRNA
AGAGGGGGACUUUAUACAAAAGCAUCUCUCCCUGUCCUCAGCGGACACGGUGGGGGCGUUCAGGGACACAGGCAUGGGAAAGGGCUCUGAUUUGAUGGUUUGGGGGAGGAGGGAGACCUCCCCAGGAGUGCCCCACCUCUCCCCGGGACACGGGCUGGGGGCAGAGAGGGUAAAUGAUUUCAGUAAAAUGCUGAGAGAAUGGAACUGGGAUGGGGAGGCAGUCUGGUUUGGGGAAGCGUGAAAUCUUUACGGGAGUGUCGUUAUCAGGACAGAAGCGGGGGUGCAUUCUUGUAAUACAAGCUUUGGGAAAUGACGGGGUUGAGGGGCGGCGAUGCCUCUCCAGCAGUACCUCACCCCCUUCACUCCACCUUGGCCCCAGGAGAAGCCGAGUUCAGGGGUAGAAGCUGGAGGAAGAAAGGGCACUCGCACCUAGGUGCAGGGGAGCAGGCUUUCACGUUUGGGGGCUGAAGAGGUGCAAGGGAGAGGGGAGUGUAGCACGUCAUUGCGUUCAGCUGCGGGUAGGGGAGUCGGGAUUGGACAAGGGCAAGGCUUCUGGAACGCACACCUCUUUCUUCCCAAUGCCUAGGGCCCCUCCCCGGGAGCAGCUGGCUGGUGAGGGAAACUGACUCCACACCCCAACUCCCAGGGCAGAGCUGCUGUGACUGGAGUACCAAAAGCGAAAAGGGGGUAGUUAAUGAUUAACGAACGAAAUUGUCGUCUCCCUCCCCCAUCCCCAGCCAAGUCCGCUCGACUCUAGCCUUGGGGGAGAGGGCGCCUUCAUUUGCUCCCUAGGAACCUCUAUGUCCUUUCAUGCUCCACGGCCUCCUAGCCCCUUCCAAGCCAAGACUGGGCCUUUCCCCCCACUCCCCCCCCCAUAGCUCCGGAGGGAGGGGGAAUGGGAGGAGUAGUCAAGCUGAUGUUCUAUUGGCUGGAGCUAUCCCCCACAAGAGAGGGGCAGUCAUCCACCCAAGGUCACACAAGCAUGUUGGGAAAUUAAGCCAUGUCUGCCAAUUCCCUGUUGAGGGUAGGUUCCUAACCUGUUUUAGCUACUAUAGGGACCUCCCCAAGAGACCUCAGCAUAGUCAGAGUCCUGUCUGAAAGGAAGGAAGUUCCCAAGGACAAAAUAGCCCCUUCCAAUCCAGGACAGGCAGCUGGAAGGGAGCACGGAACCAGGUUGUGAUGACAGUGAACUUGGAGUCAGGAGAGGUGGGAUCAGACCCUAGCUCCAACCCUUACUUACUUCCUGACUUGGGGCAGGACAAUUUGGUCUCCAUUACCUCCACUGUAAAACCGGGAUAAUGAUCCUUGCACACAAUUUACCUCACCAUCCUUAGAAUAACUUUGUUGUGAGGAAAGCUUUUUGCAAGACUUGGACAACUGUAGACAUGAAAGCUGAUACCAUCUUUGCUCAGUGGGCAUCAGGUAUAAGGAAGACUCUUAAACCCAUUUCAGGAAGGCAUUGAUGUCCUUGGAACAGGUGCUAGAAAAACUCACUAGGAGAGAGGUGACCAGAAGGAAGAGGAAAGCAGCCCCAGCCAGUCUCCUUUUGCCUCUGGGGCCUUCAGUCUCCCUAGCAAGAUUUGUACUGUGAAAGGGCCUUCACCUCCAGGGACCCUUUACCCCCAUGGCAAGCCAAGCCUCACAGAACAUCACAGAGCUGUCCUGGGCCCAUUCACAUUGCUAGGGAAUCAAGGGAGACCAGAAAGCUGCACUAUAUCCAGUCAGUCAUGGAAUAGUAGACCUAUGAGGGCCCUUAAGAAGAUAGAAUGUCAGAAUUGGAGGAGCCCUCAGAAUAUGGGAUAUUAGAGCUGGAAGAUACCUUAGAACAUAGAACGUCAGAACUGGAA